rnacentral:rRNA from 1 species
AUUGAACGCUGGCGGCAGGCCUAACACAUGCAAGUCGCACGAGUGGCGGACGGGUUAGUAAUGUCUGGGAAACUGCCUGAUGGAGGGGGAUCACUACUGGAAACGGUAUCUAAUACCGCAUACCCUCAGAUGUGCCCAGAUGGGAUUCGCUAGUAGGUGGGGUAACGGCUCACCUAGGCGACGAUCCCUAGCUGGGCUGAGCGGAUGACCAGCCACACUGGAACUGAGACACGGUCCAGACUCCUACGGGAGGCAGCAGUGGGGAAUAUUGCACAAUGGGCGCAAGCCUGAUGCAGCCAUGCCGCGUGUAUGAAGAAGGCCUUCGGGUUGUAAAGUACUUUCAGCGGGGAGGCGUUACCCGCAGAAGAAGCACCGGCUAACUCCGUGCCAGCAGCCGCGGUAAUAC